rnacentral:rRNA from 1 species
AUUGAACGCUGGCGGCAGGCCUAACACAUGCAAGUCGAGCGGAUGAAGGGAGCUUGCUCCUGGAUUCAGCGGCGGACGGGUGAGUAAUGCCUAGGAAUCUGCCUGGUAGUGGGGGAUAACGUCCGGAAACGGGCGCUAUACCCCCUACCGCCUUGGGGAAAAAAUUGGGGGUCUUCGGGCCCCACCCCAACAAAAUAACCUUGGUCGGAUUAACUAGUUGGUGGGGUAAAGGCCUACCCAGGCGACGAUCCGUAACUGGUCUGAGAGGAUGAUCAGUCACACUGGAACUGAGACACGGUCCAGACUCCUACGGGAGGCAGCAGUGGGGAAUAUUGGACAAUGGGCGAAAGCCUGAUCCAGCCAUGCCGCGUGUGUGAAGAAGGUCUUCGGAUUGUAAAGCACUUUAAGUUGGGAGGAAGGGCAGUAAGUUAAUACCUUGCUGUUUUGACGUUACCAACAGAAUAAGCACCGGCUAACUUCGUG